rnacentral:lncRNA from 1 species
GAAACAAAACACCUAGUAAAUGCAGUCCUGAGAAACUUAUCUGUUCAGAAAAUAAAUAUCUGCCUGAUGAAGAGAAUGAGACUACUGACCUAAGACCAUUUUUGAAAGGCAAUUUCAUUCCUCAAAGCUCAGCCAGGAGAAUGGAAGGGAAGAGAGGAAUUGUGUGGUUCGAGGUGCCAGACAGCACAGACCACAACCCUGGGUGCCUGGGGAAGGCCAGUGUAGGUGGGGGUCACAGCCCGUGUUAAGAAGAGUGAUGAUGGCAAAAGUCCUGGGGCGGCACCCGGCCUCCCUGCAGCUGGGGUUCAGGCAUCGCUGCCGGGAACGGUGCCAUCUGUAAGGAGGCCAUGUGCACGAGUAGACCUACUUCGGUAUCAGGCUGUUCCUGCGCUGAGGCUGCAGCAUUUCUUCCCGAUCCUUCGCCUCCUGAGUGGCUGUGACCCCACAGAGGUCACAUGGCGUGGAAUGGUUACAGCAUCACCAAAACCACCCACACUGGACACAUUCAACCAAGUGGUAACGUCUGCUGUUCCGAUGCCUCAUUUCCACAUAAUACUUUUUAUAGCCCUGAAAAUGGAAACCUUGGCAUCUAAACACAGCCAAACAUGUUAACACUAAUACAAGGCACUGUGCUGUGGGUUUGGUUUAUUUCUAGGAAAGAUCAUGUUUGCAUAGAUUGCUAGCUAUUUAGUGUGCAAUAAAAUAGAGGGCCGGACCUGGCACGUGUGGCCUGCGAUGGAUGAAGCCUUGUGAUACUCCUUUAGCCUAGGGGCAGCACCGUCCGUCUCUAGCCCCAGCCUUU